AGCUUUGCACGGUGGCAGUACCGUGGCCAAUGAGGUUUAUCCAAGGUGAGAUUAUUGCUAAUUGAAAACUAAAUCCCCCUCCCUUCUUCGCUUCCUUCUCCUUCUCCCACCAAAUAAAAUAUUUAAGUAUAAAGUUCAAAUUU
ensembl:snRNA U4 U4 spliceosomal RNA